ensembl:lncRNA
UUCUAUAUAAUAAACUCAAUUUAUUUCCAAUAAAUAACAAUCAUAGUGAAGGAGAAAAACAAUCCAAGUAAUUUAUGAAAACAAUGUGAUUAUAUAUACUUAGCCUGGGCAGGGUACAGAUAGGAGAAGUACAAUCUUGCAGUCUUGAUUUUACAGUGAUAUGGGCAAAAGCAAUUCUAAAACUUUUCUAGAUGUUUUAUAGGAUUGAACAAGUGAAUAAAAUGGCUAAUUUUGGGGGGAGUCAGGAUUCUGAGGAAGAAGAACCAUUGAAACACUGAAUGGGGAAGGUAAGAAAGAACUCUAUGAGGAUGGAUUGGAAUUGGAUGUAUUAGUGUGAACUCAUGUCUGAAAUCAAACGCAUAAGGGCUGAUAAGCACAUGUAAAUGUAGGUGUCCAUGCACAUUUUGUAUAUAUGCAUUACAGGCACAUUUCCUAGUUCUGUCUGCUGAACAGGCCUAGCAGAUGACACCCAGUAGCAAUGUGCAUACCCAGCAGCCACAUCUUAUGUAUCUAAUAUCAUUCCCCAGGGUUCCUUGGAGAAAUUGCUGAUUCCAGAUGAUGGAACAUCUUUUAUUUAAGAUAACUGCUAAAAAAACAACAAAUGAUAGGGGAUGCCACAGAUUGAAGGAGCUCCCAUGGGCCAAAGCUAAGACAAUUUAGGCACAAAGUAAGUAAUGAAGUAUAAACUACUGAAAAAACAGAAAACCAGGAAGCCAAAACAAUAGGAAAUAUAAAAAUUCAUGCCAAUAGAUAUGGAUGGAUGGGGGAGAAAGGAGGGUUCCUGCUUACAGUAGAAUGCUGAGUGCCAACUGGUACAUGAGGAAGGAAUGCUGGAGUUGGAAAACCACCAUUUCGCAACUAUCAAAGUAAAGACUGAACAAGCAAGAAUCAUCAAGGGAUGCUAAACCCUGGGGGGAAAUGUCGAUGCCAGCAUGGACCUAAAGUCUCCCACAGAUUGCUUAUUAGAUGCAAGGUUAAAAACAGUAAGUAUACAUUGCACUAACUGGACAAUACCUUGCCCAGGCGACCAAAAUUAACAUCACCAGUGAGGAGCAGGACGGACACGCUGUGCCUCCAGAUGUGAUAUUCUGAUGGUACAGUCUCAACAAUGUACUACUCUGGCCAAGAUGCGUAAUCUAAUCUAAUCACGAGGAAACCCAAAAUGAGGAACAUUCUAUUAGAAACACAGGGGACAGGAGACAGAAGACUGUAUUCUUCAAAACCACGCCACGUCAAUGCCACAAAAGAUGAAGGCAGCCACGGAAAUGAUCCGGAGUGUAGGAGACUUAAGGCAGGCCAAGUGAACCAAAUCAGAAAGCAAAAAUUGUCAGAUCAUAACAGCAGGUGAAUGUGGGUAAAAGACGUAUUAACCUUCUUUGUACUAUUCUGAUUCUUGCCAAUUUUUGGUCAAUUUGAAAUCGUUUCCAUAUGAAAAGUUAAACAAUUAGGAGACACUGAUACUGGGUUGCCAACGUCAUGUUUGGCCUAACAAGGUUAUUAAAACGCAAUGAUUAAAAAAACAAAACUAUCACCUACUGUUAUACAAUUUUCUUUAAAAAAAGUGUUAGGAGGGGGUAUUUUAAACAUCCAAAACAUAGCAAGAUCUCUAAAUAAAAGAAGGGUCCUUCAAAAUGAAUAAAUUUAGAUUUAUGAAAAAAAAAUCACACUGUCCUAAUUUUUCUCAUUUCCCUGUGGACCAGGGAGAGCUUUGUCAGCUUGGAGUUAGAGAAUUAGUAUUCUAAACAGGGUGUGUUUUCAGCGAUGGAUGAAGAAUAGUACAAUAGAAAGCGCAUGGAAUCUGGAGCCAAAUGCUGAAUCCAAAUCUUGGCUGCAGCGGUUAGCAGCUUUACAACCUAAGCUCUCUUACCCAGUUUCCUCAAAUGCAAGGCAGAUAGCUAAAUCAUAGGACUGUUAACAGAACAGAAUUAAAUUAUUAUGUAUCUAGAACUUGGUUGAACACUGAGAACGCUCAACAAAUAUCUCCUUCUUUUCCUUUCCUUGGGAGCCACCUUACUGUUCUCUGGAGAUGCAUCUGACUGGGGGCCAUGUUGGCCCUUUCCUCAUUGACCCAACUCAGCCCCACUGGGAUUAUGCAAGAAACGGAAUUAUCCUGAGAAUAAACUUCUUUUCUGGAGGUAAACUUCCUGAAAACAGAAGCCAGGGAUAUUGAACAGUAAAAUGAAAAGACAGAAAGCUUAUAAAGACAGAUGAGUCGGAGCAUCACUAGUAACUGAUGAGUUCUGUUAAGGAGGUAAAGACAGUAGGAGGGAAGACGGUAUCGGUUUAUGUUAGAAAAGUCUGCUGCUUAAAAGACACUAAAACAGUAUGUUCAGGGGCCGGCUUUGCAGCUGAGUGGUUAAGUUAGCAUGCUUGGCUUUGGCGGCCCAGGGUUCCACCAGUUCAAAUCCUGGGUGCAGACAUGGCACCGUUCGUCAAGCCAUGCUGAGGCGGCAUCCCACAUGCCACAACUAGAAGGACCUAUAACUAAAAACUCACAACUAUGUACCAGGGGGGUUCGAGAGAAAAAGGAAAAAUAAAAUCUUAAAAAAAAAAAAGCCUACGUUAUUAAAAAACCGCAAAUAACAGCACAAAUCUAUUUUGCAAAUGACUAUCCCUCUAUUUCCAAGAGUGAAUAAUAGUUUGUCAAAAAUAAAUAUUAUUAAAUCACCAAUUCUAUUUGUUUUACCAGCUAUGUAUCUUUGAAGAAAAAAAAACUCAGUAAAAUGUCCAUGAGUUGUGAGAUUUCAUCCAAUUCUCUAUUGGUUUUUUGCUUCUUUGCACA